GGUGAGUUAUAUGGUAUCACUAGGAUUUACAGAGAAUGACGGCGCACUUUUCCUGUCCAUUUUGGGGGCGUCAACUGCCGUGGGAAAAACAAUCCUAUCGUUAGUCGGUGAAUGGCUUCCGUUUCCUGUCUAUUACACAAUGGCUAUUGCAUCUGUGGUGAGCUGCCUGGUCAUGUGCUGUUUUCUCGUCGUAAAGAAUCUUACAAUUAUGCUCAUCUUAGCAGCCGUUAUUGGUGGAGUAAUGAUGACUAUAACUACGGUGAUGACUCUGUCAAUUCCGAAUUGUUUCUUCGGUCCCGAACUUUCUCGUCAAACCUGGCCCGUUAUCCUCUUUUGUAAUGGUGUUGGUCUCAUAUGUGGCGCCAUAGUUGGUCAGUCGAUUGAUCGUACUGGCUCCUAUCGAAGUGCCAUUUGUGCUUUUACUGGUCUUUACACUCUCGUGAGCGUACUACUUAUCGCAGCCCCACUUUACCAAAGGACAUUUGCACCUCAGCGUUACGUCGUACAAGAGUUACAUCGACUAAAACGCUUGGAGAAAAGGAACCGCGUUGAACAUGAGGAAGCACGUGAAAAACUUGUGAAUAUACCAAAGCUCAGCAGAACCGGCUAUGAAUAUGAAAUUGUUAACGAGCGUGUGUCAACCGUUUAGAUAGCAAUGAGUAACUUACUGAUAUAAUAAUAAUGUGACUUAUAAAGCGCGAAAUCCACUCUGUAGAGUGCUCUAGGCGCAUAAAGAGCUGAGAGUUAAAUAACAAAAGUUUUUAGAAGAUUUUUGAAAGUUUCGACAGAGGUACAUUUUUUAUGUCUUCAAGAAGGCUAUUCCACAAAGUGGGGCAUGCAAAAUCAAAUGAUCUUUCCCCCCAAGUUUUUGAAACUUUUGGAAUAACAAGGAAGCCAGAAGUGGAUGAGCGCAAAGACCUGCUUGGUCUGUAGUAAUUGAUAAAUGAAAGACUGUAUUGUGGUGCUGAUCCAAGAAUACUUUGAAAAGCAAGCUACACAAUCUUAAAGAUAAUCCGAUAUCAGAAAAAAAAAAAAACCAAAUCAGUCAGCAUUUUUCAUCUGCCACAAGCCAAACCAUUACGUCAUGUGGUUCCAGGAACGUCAUCAUCAUCAAGCCUUUGUGAUGGGCUUCUAUCGAGUUUUUGUGUAGUUUAUGAUUCCACAGAAUUCGGACCAGGACCGAAAUAUUACUCUUCUUGACUUAAAAAGGACCAGUCAAACCCAACAAAAAAGUUGAUUUUAACUUUAAAAAAAAAAAAUCGAACAAGCAUAACAAUGAAAAUUUCAUUAAAAUCGGAUGUAAAAUAAGAAAGUUAUGACAUUUAGAAAUUUUGCUUAAAUUUACAAAACAGUUACAUGCACAUCCUGCUCUGUAAGCGAAUGAGGGGACUGAUGGCAUCACCCAGCCACCAUUUAUUUUGUAUUCUAUCAUAUGAAUAUGAAAGAUUCCAACUUUUCCCUCAUUGCCAUGUGAAAGAAAAUUUUAUUCCUCGCUGAACAUGAAGAAUUAUCAUAUUAACAUUUUAUGGUUCAGUCAACCUAAUUCUUAUUGAUAAAUUGAUAAAAAUUGAAAUAUUAAUUGUAUUAUGCAAACAAUAAAAAGCAAAAGAAAUAGUGAGUGAGGGACAUCAUCGACUCUUUCAUUUGCAUAUCACUGAAUUGUGCAUAUAACUAUGUCAUAAUAUUUUUAUUUACAUUCGAUUUUGAUGAAAUAUUUAGCAUCAUGCUUGUUGGAUUUUUGUCUAUUAAUUUAAAUCAAAAAUUUUCUGGGGUGGACUUGACCUUUAACGCUAUGGAUUAUUCGUCAGCUCGUUCGGUCUACAUCGUAGAACAACUAAUAAUUUGUUAACUUAAUAUAUAGAACAUAUAUAAAGCACGUAACCCUAUUCGAAGUGGCCUUGUCAGACCUGUUUUUACGCUGUAUUGUAUCAUUGCGUCCUCAUUACUCACUGUAAUUUAAAUGAUUGCUGUUACCUUUGAAAGUAUUUUGUCCCUGGCCCCUAUUUUAUACAUUAUUCCUGAACCCUUAACGUGCCGUGAACACAUAUCUGUGCAUCCACUGGAGUGCCACGAACACAUUUUCGUGCAAUGGUCAAACAGCUAUUGUUAUGCCUAUUGCAUUUUGAGGAGUGCAUUGCAUGCAUGAGUGAUUCCACUGUUCAGUUCAGCUAAUGGUCAAGAGGUUUAACGUGAUUGUCUCAGGAGUGAUUCCCUUUUUUGUGUAAAUAAAACAAUUAAAUAUAGACCCUCUGAAAAAAUGGCACGCUGAUUACAGUGAAUGGCACAUUAAGAGUUAAAGAUAAAGCUCAUUAAAACAUUCACACACAAAUUGCAGUCGAACU